UAGACCUACGGGACGCAGCAGUGGGGAAUAUUGGGCAAUGGGCGCAAGCCUGACCCAGCAACGCCGCGUGAAGGAAGAAGGCUUUCGGGUUGUAAACUUCUUUUAUGAGGGACGAAAGAAAUGACGGUACCUGAAGAAGAAGCAUCGGCUAACUCCGUGCCAGCAGCCGCGGUAAUACGGAGGAUGCGAGCGUUAUCCGGAUUUAUUGGGUUUAAAGGGUGCGUAGGCGGAAUGCCAAGUCAGCGGUAAAAUCGCGGGGCUCAACCUCGCUCCGCCGUUGAAACUGGCGUCCUUGAGUGGGCGAG
rnacentral:rRNA from 1 species